ACUUUUAAAGGAAACUAGAAACCC
rnacentral:tRNA from 1 species